rnacentral:rRNA from 1 species
UUCCGGUUGAUCCCGCCGGACCCCACUGCUAUCGGGGUGGGACUAAGCCAUGCAAGUCUAUGGCCGCGGCCUCUGCGGCCAUGGCGCACGGCUCAGUAACACGUGGCCAACCUACCCCAAGGAGGGGGAUAACCCCGGGAAACUGGGGCAUAAACCCCCAUAGGUGAUGGGCUCUGGAAGGACCCAUCGCCGAAAGUGUGCCAGAAGGAUGCUUCUGGCAACAGCCUUGGGAUGGGGCUGCGGCCGAUCAGGUAGUUGGUGGGGUAACGGCCCACCAAGCCUAUAACCGGUACGGGCCCUGAGAGGGGGAGCCCGGAGAUGGACUCUGAGACAAGAGUCCAGGCCCUACGGGGCGCAGCAGGCGCGAAACCUUCGCAAUGCGCGCAAGCGCGACGAGGCCACCCCGAGUGCCACCCUCGUGGUGGCUUUUGCCCAGUGUGAACAGCUGGGCGAAUAAGCGGGGGGCAAGACGGGUGUCAGCCGCCGCGGUAAUACCCGCUCCGCGAGUGGUGGGGACUUUUACUGGGCUUAAAGCGUCCGUAGCCGGCCCGGUGUGUUCUCUGUUAAAUCCGGCGGCCUAACCGCCGGGCUGCGGAGAAUACUACCGGGCUUGGGGGUGGGAGAGGCCGACGGUACUCCCGGGGUAGGGGUAAAAUCCACUGAUCCCGGGAGGACCACCAGUGGCGAAGGCGGUCGGCCAGAACACGCCCGACGGUGAGGGACGAAAGCUGGGGGAGCGAUCGGGAUUAGAUACCCCGGUAGUCCCAGCCGUAAACGAUGCGGGCUAGGUGUCGCGCCAGCUACGGGCUGGCGCGGUGCCGAAGGGAAACCAUUAAGCCCGCCGCCUGGGGAGUACGGCCGCAAGGCUGAAACUUAAAGGAAUUGGCAGGGGAGCACCACAAGGGGUGGACGUUGCGGCUUAAUUGGAGUCAACGCCGGGA